CACGUAGGGUGCGAGCGUUGUCCGGAAUUAUUGGGCGUAAAGAGCUCGUAGGCGGUGUGUCGCGUCGACCGUGAAAACCUGCAGCUUAACUGUGGGCGUGCGGUCGAUACGGGCAUCACUGGAGUUCGGCAGGGGAGACUGGAAUUCCUGGUGUAGCGGUGAAAUGCGCAGAUAUCAGGAGGAACACCGGUGGCGAAGGCGGGUCUCUGGGCCGAUACUGACGCUGAGGAGCGAAAGCGUGGGGAGCGAACAGG
rnacentral:rRNA from 1 species